rnacentral:rRNA from 1 species
CCUACGGGUAGCAGCAGUCGAGAAUCAUUCACAAUGGGGGAAACCCUGAUGGUGCGACGCCGCGUGGGGGAAUGAAGGUCUUCGGAUUGUAAACCCCUGUCAUGUGGGAGCAAAUUAAAAAGAUAGUACCACAAGAGGAAGAGACGGCUAACUCUGUGCCAGCAGCCGCGGUAAUACAGAGGUCUCAAGCGUUGUUCGGAAUCACUGGGCGUAAAGCGUGCGUAGGCUGUUUCGUAAGUCGUGUGUGAAAGGCGCGGGCUCAACCCGCUGACGGCACAUGAUACUGCGAGACUAGAGUAAGGGAGGGGGAACCGGAAUUCUCGGUGUAGCAGUGAAAUGCGUAGAUAGCGAGAGGAACACUCGUGGCGAAGGCGGGUUCCUGGACAUUAACUGACGCUGAGGCACGAAGGCCAGGGGAGCGAAAGGGAUUAGAUACCCUGGUAGUC